rnacentral:rRNA from 2 species
ACGGGAGGCAGCAGUGGGGAAUAUUGCACAAUGGGGGGAACCCUGAUGCAGCAACGCCGCGUGAGGGAAGACGGUUUUCGGAUUGUAAACCUUUGUCUUUGGUGAAGAAGAAGUGACGGUAGCCAAGGAGGAAGCCACGGCUAACUACGUGCCAGCAGCCGCGGUAAUACGUAGGUGGCAAGCGUUGUCCGGAAUUACUGGGUGUAAAGGGAGCGCAGGCGGGACAGCAAGUCAGCUGUGAAAACCACGGGCUUAACCUGUGGACUGCAGUUGAAACUGUUGUUCUUGAGUGAAGUAGAGGUAGGCGGAAUUCCGAGUGUAGCGGUGAAAUGCGUAGAUAUUCGGAGGAACACCAGUGGCGAAGGCGGCCUACUGGGCUUUAACUGACGCUGAGGCUCGAAAGUGUGGGGAGCAAACAGGAUUAGAUACCCUGGUA